rnacentral:tRNA from 1 species
GCGGAUAUGACUGAAUGGUUUAAGUGUCGAACUGUGACUUCGAAAACGCGGGUUCAAUCCCCGCUAUCCGCC